GAAGCAAUCUCCACACCGGUCCAAACUUGCCUUGAUGCCAUUCACCCUGUUUUUAAUCUUUAUCACAGUGAGGGAGAGGACAAGCGCUAUGUUCCUUCUAAUUGGGAUUAUCUUUCCAUGAUGCAACAGAUCUCAAGAACAUGGUGACGGCGCACAGUGGGGUACAUACACAGCAAAGUCAACAUAUGCUACAUCACUGCUUCCAGCAUGCUUGACCACACUCAAACAAACUGCGUACAUUCAUUCACAGUGUCCGGUGCUUGCCAAGAGCAAAGCAGAGUAAUGAGACAAGAUGGAGAGGAACGGAGAGUGCCAAACGACUCCAGUCUCAACCAGUCUCGGCAGAACCAUUCUAAUGAUGCGAGCCGCACAAUGGAAGGUGACCCACUUAGUGCCUCUUCCCUCUGUGACUCGCCAUCUCCGAAGACAACCUGGCCCAAU